GCGCUAAGCGGGGAGAUAGCGGUGCCCUGUACCAGCAAUCCGCUACAGCUGGGCUGAAGGUCCCCCGAGGCGGCGCGCAUGGAAGGCAGGUUUCGGUAAGGAGCGUUGAUAUUAAGGUCUUAUGCAACGGGCGGUCGCGAACCGCGUCAGGAUAGGGAUAUAGCAGCGCUAAACGAUUUUUGCCCGUGUGCCAUAAGGAAGCUUUGAAGGAGCCGCCUGUCGGAAUAUCGCUUCGGUGUUCGCCGUCG
rnacentral:SRP_RNA from 1 species